GGUGAAAUAAGAAAAUAAAAGAUAACAAACUGAUAGCAAUAGCUAUCAGCCCCAAAAGCUCAAAAGCUUCCCAAAUCACCAAGAUGGUGAUCCCAUAAUUCUAACCGAAAAUUAGGCUAAGUUAUUCCUUUCUCUCCCUACUCUUUAUAUAGUUACUAUUACUAAUAUCAUGCCCUCCUCAUGCACAUGAUUACACAUGCUCACAUCUUCUGCACAUGCUUUAGUUGCCACGUCAUCAUUCUUUCCACACCUUAGUUUUGGGCCAAAGU
rnacentral:lncRNA from 1 species